UACGUAGGGGGCAAGCGUUGUCCGGAAUCAUUGGGCGUAAAGCGCACGUAGGCGGGUCGUUAAGUCAGGGGUGAAAUCCCGGAGCUCAACUCCGGAACUGCCUUUGAUACUGGCGACCUUGAGGCUGGAAGAGGUUAGUGGAAUUCCCAGUGUAGAGGUGAAAUUCGUAGAUAUUGGGAAGAACACCAGUGGCGAAGGCGGCUAACUGGUCCAGAUCUGACGCUGAGGUGCGAAAGCGUGGGGAGCAAACAGG
rnacentral:rRNA from 1 species